UACGUAGGGUGCAAGCGUUGUCCGGAAUUAUUGGGCGUAAAGAGCUCGUAGGCGGUCUGUCGCGUCUGCUGUGAAAACUCAGGGCUUAACCCUGAGCUUGCAGUGGGUACGGGCAGACUAGAGUGCGGUAGGGGAGACUGGAAUUCCUGGUGAUAGCGGUGAAAUGACGCAGAUAUCAAGGAAGAACACCCGUGGCGAAAGCGGCUCUCUGGAACGGUACUGGACGCUGAAGACGCGAAAGCGUGGGGAGCGAAACAGGAUUAGACUACCCCAG
rnacentral:rRNA from 1 species